AAAAAAAAAAAAGUGAGCUGCUGCCAGC
rnacentral:piRNA from 1 species